AACGAACGCUGGCGGCAGGCUUAACACAUGCAAGUCGAGCGCAUCCUUCGCAGUGAGCGGCAGACGGGUGAGUAACGCGUGGGAAUCUACCUUUUGCUACGGAAUAGCUCCGGGAAACUGGAAUUAAUACCGUAUGUGCCCUUAGGGGGAAAGAUUUAUCGGCAAGAGAUGAGCCCGCGUUGGAUUAGCUAGUUGGUGGGGUAAAGGCCUACCAAGGCGACGAUCCAUAGCUGGUCUGAGAGGAUGAUCAGCCACAUUGGGACUGAGACACGGCCCAAACUCCUACGGGAGGCAGCAGUGGGGAAUAUUGGACAAUGGGCGCAAGCCUGGUCCAGCCAUGCCGCGUGAGUGAAGAAGGCCUUAGGGUUGUAAAGCACUUUCAGCGAGGAGGAAGGCAUCAUACUUAAUACGUGUGGUGAUUGACGUUACUCGCAGAAGAAGCACCGGCUAACUCCGUGCCAGCAGCCGCGGUAAUACGGAGGGUGCAAGCGUUAAUCGGAAUUACUGGGCGUAAAGCGCACGCAGGCGGUUUGUUAAGUCAGAUGUGAAAUCCCCGCGCUUAACGUGGGAACUGCAUUUGAAACUGGCAAGCUAGAGUCUUGUAGAGGGGGGUAGAAUUCCAGGUGUAGCGGUGGAAUGCGUAGAUAUAUGGAAGAACACCAGUGGCGAAGGCGGCUACCUGGUCUGCAACUGACGCUGAGACUCGAAAGCAUGGGUAGCGAACAGG
rnacentral:rRNA from 2 species